GCAGUGGUGGUGGGGUUGAGUUCACAUCUAGGGAGGAUGUGAAGAGGUUUUUGGGUGAGAAGAUGAAGGGGAAGAACAAGAAUGAUUACAAGGGAAAGAGCGAGCAGAUGAUAGAGUACAUAAAGAAACUCAGGACUUGUAUCAGAUGGUUCAUGGAGCUUGAAGAUGGGUAUUUGGCCGAUCAGGAGAAACUCAAAAGUAUGUUGGAUUCUGAAGAGAAAAGGCAUGCAGAGAUUGAGGCUCAGAUGAGGGCCAAGGUUGAAGAAUUAAAUGUAAUUAUCCA